UGAAUAUUUACUUAAAAAAAAGUCAUCACUUUCAUCAGCAGUAAGCAUGCGCAGUAGAUGGCCUUGCCCACAUUUCCAUUGAAUGACAUCAUUCUAGUAACUACGCAGCAGUACAGUGCAGAAUAGAUUGACAGAUCAAGGUGAGUUGGAGUUGAUGAAACACAAAAGGGGGGCUCUAGCCCCGAAUUGUAGGUCACAGUGUGGCUCUUCGUUGAAAAGUAUAGCUAGUAGCCCUGAGGCUAUUCAUACUUCAUGCAUCAAUGUAUGCAUCAAUGUGUCUUUCUUCUAGCUUGGCACUGUCUUAGUAUAGCCCAUUGUUCUGUCAUGAAAUCAUUACCAUACUUCAUGCAUCAAUGAAUGGUCUGGACUGUCUUUGCUCUUUCUAUUUGGGACUGUAUUUCCUCUAGAUCUUUGGUUCUUUAAAGCUUUAUAGCGGGUAUCAAAAAACUAAAACACAUACCUUGUAUCACAAAGUGAUUAUGUAAACAUUCUCAUACUAGCAAAUAAUAUAACACAAAAUAACAUACAUUAGUACAUAACAUACAUUAAUACACGUGAAUGACGUUGUAAUGGAUUGAAUUUCUUGUUUCCACGCUUUUUAACACUCAAUUUGUAUCAUUCCUUACUGUGUUUAAUGUUCAUUCAAUUGCUAACACCAAUCAUAAUUAACACUCUAAUACUUUUGAGCGAGAGGCACUAAAAGAAAAGAAAAUGAUAAAUUUGUAUGAUUGUUGGUCAUUUAUGAAAUAAUUAAUUGAAAACAAAAUCUUCUUCUUUGUUGCUUUCUAGAUCCUUGGUCAUUCAUGAAAUAAUUAGCAAAAUUUGAGCGAGAGGCACUAAAAGAAAAGAAAAUGAUAAAUUUGUAUGAUUGUUGGUCAUUCAUGAAAUAAUUAUGCACUUCCGCGUAUAAUGCACUUCUGCACUUCCACGUAUAAUUAAAUCUUCUUUUUUGUUGCCCUGGAGCAGCCACAAAACACCACAAUUGAAUAGAUGCAAGUCAGAUUAUUUUAUACACUUUUCCUCUUCCAUACUUCCUCUUCUUUACUUCCUCUUCUAUACUUUUGAGCGAAAGCAAAUCGUGGCAAGAGGCAUUAGCAGCUUGAAGUAUAACCGAGGCUGGUGCUGGUACAACAUUAAUUUUAAUUUAGUUUUUAGAGCUGCCUUUUUAAUAUUUUAUAAGUAUCAUGAGCACGAGAGCAGAUAUUGGCUCAGUAGUAAAUUAGUGGUCGAGGGCCGUAGGCCUCGAGACCAUUAAUUACUACGUAGCCAAUAUCAGGCAUAUUGCACGAGUGAUUAUGCAAUAACUGAUUUGUUGCGUGGGAGAAGCAUAGUCCGCAUUCCUUAUUUUCAUACCAGAAAAAAGUGAGUUGUAGGAACAAUAUAAAAGAGAUCAUUCCAACUUUUGUCCAAGCUUUCUGGCUGUGCAAAUAUAUGGCAUAUUGCACUGUGGAGACUUGUUAGCUUUGAUGUGCCUGGCUUCACUGCCGUAUAUUUGCACUGUGGUUUCUUUGAUCUUUUGCUCAAACAUGCAACAAUAAUAAUAAUAAUAUUUUAGAUGAAGAUCCAUCCAUUGCUAUUGGACUUGCUAUUGGACUUGACUGGUUGAAGGAUGUCGUGAGAAAAGUCGGAGUACGGCAUAGGCAGUUCAUGCUCACCACAUCCAGCCGCAUUCCUCGAGGACAGCAACCCAACUUUGUUCUUUGUUUUCUCCAUCGCAAUCUUGGAACACGAGUCCCUCUCCGUGUGAGUUAAGUAUAAAUUAGUGCAAAAAUAUCCCAAUGUACAGCACCUAUUACCUACUACUCCAAGGAUGGUGAUGCAUGUUAUGUGACCAAUUUGUAUCUAUCGAAUUCUCAAGUUCGUUCUCGAGUUACGGACAUCUCGUACGGUGAGCACUAAAUCACUCUAGCCACUUUCAUAAUUAUAUCCAGAAACGUAAUGUGGUUAAAGCUCUUCUCUCUACCCUAGGAUGAGAGUGUUAAUUGUGGUAAUGAUACGCAUCGUUUUUUUUCGAUUACUUUUACUUUCUACAGCCUUUCUACAGCAUUCAUGGAAGUUUACUAUCGGACAUCAAGGCGGCAAGUGAUGAGCCCGUAAAGAAAAAACGAAAGUGCUCACUAUUUGACCCAGCAAUUUUUCACAUUGCAAAUGUUUUUCUACUCGGAUUAAUAAAUAGAUGAAACAGUCCCACAACACAUGGGGUCAUGGGGUCAAACUAUUUCACUCCUCUACCAUUUCAGGGGUGAUGUCCAAAAUGAUCCCAAGUUAAGUUUUGCACACACAUGGAUGCACACACAUGGAUGCACAUGGAGCACAUGGCACAAAAAAUUCACACCCAUGCAUCCACUAUAAUUCCGGCUUUAAUUAAAAACAAGAAAAUACGGAAUAAAUACAUGUUUUUCUUUAAAAAUCCAUAUCUUAUGAACCAUACAUUGAAUCGUAACUAUUUCCUACAGGUAGCCCUAGCCCAGACCCCGGGGGUACCAUGACAUCAUCAUCGUUACUUAGCAACUGACCACUCCCAACUAAUUAGCGAUUGUUUGUACACAAACAAUAUUGGCACAAAGUGACUAUAGACACUAAGUGUUCUCAAUGUUCUCACAGUGACACAGGGCCCUUUUCCCGGGAAACGUUUUCUUCACCUACACACAGUUCAAUGGUGGCUCAUGCUAACUAGCCUAAGCAAACCUAGCUAUCCUGAAAGCUUCAGGAUACAGUAUGUUGUACAAAUGCUACUCUAGACUUACCAGAUCCAGAAACUUGGUCCAGCUUCUACCUAGCUACGAUCCCAGUCACUGUCCUCUCACUCUACAAGGCCAUAAGCAUCUCACAGCUUUAGAACCUCACUGAGGCUGUACUAUGAAGAUCUUGAAGUCAUCAUCAAACGGUCACUUUUCUUUCAAAAUACCACGUGAAAGAGCAGCUCAAUGCGCAUGUGCUGGUACCUACAGCGUGCGCAUAGCUCCAACACAGUGUGCACAGCAAAUUUGUGAAAAAUCUCGGUCUGCUGGACGACAUAUGUCGUCCAAAGCCGGGAAAGGGUUACCUCUUUAUACAACUUGUAUAUAGCCAGCCAUGCAUGCAGGAUCACUGUUUUCUCGUGUAGGCCUCCAGCCCAAGCUUUCACCUUCCUUAAUGUGUAUAAUGAUCACAAUCAUGCAUUUUUUAUAAUCAGUCCCUGGAACAGGAGAGGACGUGAGUUAUCGGACUGUAUUAAAAAAGCAUGUAUUAAAGCAGGUAUGCAAAAUUUUGACCAAAAUAAGGAUUUGGAUUUUUAAACUAGAUCACCAUUAUAAUUAUUUAUACUAGAGUCAUUGAGUCGUCAUUGAGUCAUUGAGUUUUGGUGGGAGCAUGAAGAAUGUUAGGCCGCGACCUCAUGUCCGGGGUACGCCAUAUUAAUUUUUAACAAAUUAGUUAGUCCUGACAACACAGUGCAUAACUCGAAAGCGCUUCGACUUUUGAUUGUGCAAGUUAGGCUAGGAAGAAAGACAAGUCAAAGAUCUACAAGAUGAUGCCCGAAUCACUUACUAUCUCGAAAAUUUGGCUGCUUCUGUCAAGUGGAAGAAAGACCAGUCAAAGAUCUACAGCUUACUAUCUCGAAAAUUUGGCAAGUGGUACUGUAGGUGUGGCUUAUAUACAAAUGUGAUCUCGUGUGUGACUGUGAACGAAGAAACACUUGCAGUGGCCCAGCUCUACCAAGCUAGUAUUGCUGGAUCACAGAUGCGCAGGUGGUGGAGCAGUCAACGAAACGUACGUGCCACAAGAAACAGUCUGAUGUUGGGUUUCCACCAUGGCAGACCACACUCGCUACAUCUCCAGCAGCCUCUUGUUGGAGUCCUUCCAGCAGAACGCACACCUUCCCUGUUUACAUCUCUUUGCAGGUGGUUGCAGGCACAUUUUGAGAGGAAAGUGUUGGAGCUCUACUUGAGCGGCCUGGGAGUCUCCUUGAAUGGUACCGUGGCCAGUUGGACUUUUACGUUUCGAUUUGGCUUGGAGGUUUUUAGUGUGUAAAAUAAAAGAAACAUCAAAUAGGAAAUAAAAUAUAUACUUGUAGAACUUUCGACUUCUUGUUCAACAGGAAUAAUAUCCGCGUAUUCUGUAUGUGCUUGUUGUAUGUAUGUGCUUGUUGUAGAUGAUUAUGCUGUCAGGGCAACUCACAGGAAUUCUUAAACCGUCUCUCUGACGCCUGAGAACGGAUCCCGUUGCUACUGGUUGCGACGUCGUUGAGAGGACCUUGCUGUCGUGCCAUGCACUUCUCCUCUGUCAAAGGUGUAGUUUAGUUAGCACAGUCUCACACACCACACACACACACACACACUCGCAAAAGCAUACACAUUACACAAAGCAUACACAUACACACACACACAUACACACACACACGCAUCAAACAAACAGACGACGGAAUGUUCCUUCAGGAAAACAGUUUUUCAUUGCAUCGUUUUUCUUAUUCCGCAUAAAUCCUGAUAAAGUGAUUCGUCCACGCUAACUCCUGUUUUGUCUUUCGUUUUCUGCUUCUGUACACCUUUUUCUUAACGAUUUAACUUUCUUCGUCUUUUGUGGCGUAUUUAGAUACCGAUCAUUUGCAAAUGUCAUGGGAGAAGAGUCGACUUUGCAUAGCUCGAAGUUGAUAUCUAUAACUCUUCGCAUGAGGAUCUCACAGUCACUCGUCCGUUGAAGAACACCAGUUAACACUUUCUACCGAUGCCUUAAUUUCACCACCUGAUGUCAAAAAUUUUCCUUUGUGUUUUUCUCUCAGCUCAAUGGAUGAAACCACUAUCAGGAUUGCCAGGACAAAUUCUUGCUGUAUCCAACUGACUGCUCAUUAUAACAGCUUGUGGAAUGGAUGACAAGGGGUUAGUGGGGGAAGGCAUAGUGGGGGAUUUGUGAUCGGGAUAGAGCAAUGCGUAACAACCAAUGGUUGAGCCGUGCCUCUGAAGUUUUUCGAUUGGUUUUGUAAUUGAUUGCUCCAUGAAUACUUGAGCUUGGUCUUGCCAUCAAGAGAGCUACGACGAUCAUCCACCUAGAUUGAGGUUUAUUAUGAACUGUAAGCUACUCACUAAUGCAAGCACUUACGCACAAUACACUAUAAAUAACAACUUACUCUGAGCUGCUCCGAGCUGCUCCAUCUCCUUCUUUCUCAUCUGUUUCUUCUCCUUCUUUCUCUUCUGUUUCUUCUCCUUUCUCGUCUCACCAUUCUUGACAGUGGUGUACAAAAAACGUCGAGGCAUUUCAGAUGAUCUAAAACGUGCAGCAAAGGAUUAUGGGAUAUUUCAUUUGAACAGUUUUAUAAAACUGCUUAAUGCCUACAAAAAAUAAUAUUGAGGAUCAUCGAUUAAUGACGCCACUACGGGUACGGAAACAUGUGCACUAAAAAUCAACAAUUCUAAAAGUGUUGGUACAAGGCUUACUUUCACCAUACAGUUUGGUGUAUCUAUACCCAAUAUGUUUUAUUAUGAUUAAUUGUAUGUGUUAGAUCGUAACUCACAGAGUUAUGGGUAGAGAAACCAAGGGUCAAAUUUCUCAGACUUGUAUGAUUUAUUUCAGCUGCCAUGUGGUGUGGUGCUCAGUUGGCGCCGCAUACCACAACACGAAGCUUCUUUCUAGCACCAAAGCGAAACGCGGCUAUAAUUCAGAUAAUGCGUCAUCACACUGGUUUUGUGCAGCAUCACGUGAGGCGUUUCCAAUCCAUUUCUCUAUCUUGUGUAGGUGAAGAAAAUUAGAACCUGAUCCUGGUUGAGUCCUGAGUGAGCCAUGUCACCGUGAGAACAUUCUGAACAUGUUCAUCAUUGUGUACAUAAUUGUGAAUUUUUGUUAAUAUUUGUUAUUUGUGGGGUGGUAGUUGGUUGCUAGGCAACGAUGAUUCCAUGGAUGCGACAGGUCCGAUUCUACCUGUGGAACUUUGUUACAAAUAAUUAUACGGUUCAUGAGUUAUAAAUUUUUUAAACAAAAUAUUCAAGCAGGGAAAGGGUUAUAAAAAUUAUACGAAAAAAUAUUUUUAAGACAAAUUACAAGCCGUAGUGGUGUUUAAUUACACAGAGACGACACACAAUUUACCAAACUCCACAGACUCUGCAGUCAAACUCUGCAGCAUGCUAGAGCGUACUUGAGUUUUUCAUAGCCACUCAAAGACGUUUCUUAAGUCUUGAGAUGUCACCAAACAGAAAUCCACUGUAGCCUAAAAUCCACUGUAGCCUAUAAUAAUUAUUAAGAAUUAUUAAGAUCAAGUCAUACAAUUGCACAAAUCUAACACAAAAUUGGUGUAUGCACAAGAAGUGAUAAUACUCACACAAAUCAUUUCUUGACUCCCAGCGAUUAGGGUAGGUUUGACCCAACAGACUUUUCAACUCUUCUGUUCGAGGUUUUGAUUUUUCCAUCUCAGAAGUCAAGAGUGACUCGUAUGAAAUCGGUUCGGUGGAGGAGCACUUUCAUUUCAAACACAUCCUACACCCGCGUAUCAUGGAAGGACAAUUUUUAGGCAUGCAAGGUAACAAGCUGGAUAUUUUCUUUCUCAUUGAUGGGAUACAGAUACAUACAUGGAAAGUGUUUUACACUUAAUUAUUAUCAUGAGUUGUCUCAUCAGAAUAAUGUAUUCCUACCAGUGAUCUCACACUACUGCGCAUGCAUACCAUUAUUAUCCUUUUGGCUUUGCAAAUAUUUGUUUCCCAAGCUACGAUUCACACUUAUAACACACUUAUAACACUACAACUACAGACACAAACAAUUAACGCGUAUCGCCCAUAAGUAAACUAUGAGCACCUCAUAUACAUCAUCUUUUACACCUCAUUACAUCAACGCUUCCAGUCUCCUAUAAAAUGGCAACUUAGAAAAAUACUUCACAAUCCGAGAAGAUCAAGAGGAAAAUUAAACAUGUCUGACGAUGAACUGCUGGGUAUCAGAAAUCUCUACAUCGAACAAGAUUAUUAUGGAAGACCAAGUCACAGCUCUCAACCCACCACCAGCCGGCAGCUCAGCCGGCACAGCAUCCCACCACCAGUGGACCGCCAGCCACAACAACUCUCAACCCACCCCCUUUUUCUUCACCAGGGGCACCCGUCAGAAAUUUACCUCUACCAGGUCCGAUGGACUAUCCAUAUCCUCCUCAGUAUAACGGCGCUCUCCUCCCUCUCCCACCUUUCUAUGGCCAUGGACAUGGACAACAGGGCCAGAACCAGGACCAGGAGAAACACCCCCCCUAGCCCUGCAACCACAAUAGCAUACGCCUUGUAAAGAUCGUUUAUAGUUUAUAUCAUUACACAUGUUCAGAGCUAGUUGGGCGUGGCCCCCCAGAGGUUCAUGGUGAAGAUCGUCGUUUAUAUCAUUACACAUGUUCAGAGCUAGUUGGGCGUGGCCCCCCUCCCUGGCCAGAGGAAGAUCGUUCAGUAUAGAAAAGCUCCAGCCAGGUGAAGAUCGUUCAGUGUAGAAAAGUUAAAUGUUCUCAAAUUGAUUUUGUGCGCAUGCACAGUCUCCUUCCAGUGACAGCAACCUCGCGAGACACUCACCACAUAGUAUACCUUGUGUAUCUAGCUACUCCGUAUAGUCCCCCCCAUUCAUACCUUUACAAUGGUCCAAUCUACCUCUACUCAUACACAUCAUUAUCGCACGCUAUCUACCUCUUUCACAGGUAAUGCAUGAUGCUCGCAUGUGUAUUUCACCUCUAUUCUAGGACCACUACCGAUUGUUCGAUGUAUUAUGGCGAAGCAUGUUCGUGCCAAGACGAUUGUUAGCUUCUGGAAUUUCCAUACAAUGAUACUGAAUUGAUCAAUCUAGGAAAAUGUCAUCCAAAUAUCUUUUUUGCCCACUCCGCGAUAACUUAUAGAUCAUUAGUGCUUAGAGAACUGUUACAACCCUACAUGUACGAAACACCCGACGGAGUAUCAAGCUGUGUACGCCCCAGAUAUUCCUGAUUUCGAAUUUGAUGAAGGAUUUUACCUCUGUGAAAAUUGCCCAAAAAAUUGCCAUGAAGGAGAAAAAUUUCAUACUUGCCCUUACUCUGCUCCACAGAGCUUGAUCUUAGCAACAAUGAACAGUAGUUUUUCACACACAGUGUUUGUCAUAGUCCACACACACAUAUGUCCCACAUAUGCACACACAUUUACUUACAUGCAUGUAAUUAUACCACAUACCCGCACACACACACACAAACCAACAAACACGUACCACACAUGCAUACUCACAUGGACACGUGCACACACGCUAGCACACACGCUAAACAGCUAAACAUGCGAGCAAUGUGCCUACUUUAACUGAUUAUGCGCCUAUUGGCGUCGUUGGGGUUAACACGGCAGCUGCAGCAAUUCGGCUUCUCUUGGCUGCUAAGCUGCUGCUGGACUGAAGCUAGGACGCCUUCUAUCCACCGUCAAGAGCUGCAGGUAGGCCACACUGGACGACGGAGGAGGUUCUACAAGACAUCUUGAAUGAUGAGGAACCUGCAGAGGAGUGGGAAGAGGUAACAGCGGUCAGGGAUGAGCCAGUCAUGCAGGGCAGUGACGAAGAAUUUUCUGAUUGGGAGGUCUAAAACUAAACUGAAUACCGAUAUAAUUUAUUACAACGUACAUGUAGAAAUGGAGCCAGACAGCAAUCCUGCACAAGGUAAAAAUUGAUAAUUAUAAGGUUAACAAAAACGUGUACACUUCGGGGAAGCUACAUUCAACAUGAGAAUGAUUAUGGACUAGAGAGUGUACAAUGGUUCAGGAGACCGGAUGGGCUGGUGGAAAAAUCGUUCAACUUUGCCGGAGAAAAAUAGGAGAAUUACGAGCAGCAGAGAAAAGUUGACCUCAGUGAGUUUGUAGAGGACGAGCAAUCAGAUGAGCCAGUAGAUGAAAACGAGGACGAUGGUGUACAUGUACUUGACGAAGAUCUUUAUGAAGACAUAUAAACUUCAAUAUUCAGUGCUCAUGCAGAAGUCAUCUACUGACACACAACCGAGAUGAGUCAAGCUUUUUGAUAUCCGAGGAAUCGAAUCAUCACAUCGACUGAUGGCUACAGAGUCCCCUUCCCCACCCACGAAAGAGUUACUGUGCUAAGUGGAUUCUCAAGACUAGUGAGACAAGAAGUUUGACAAGACGAGCAACUCUUGGCAUAGGUUCCCUUCUAGUUAGUGCUGGACACGAGCUUCAUCUAUUUUGGCAAGUAGCGAAGUGGAUGCAUCAGUGAAGUCUAGCUUUGAUGAUUUAUUUAUUUCGUCAAUCACAAGGCCUUUCGAAGGUUUAAUAUCUUUUCAUCAGCAGUUGAGUUACUAUCGAGACCACUAUCAAGACCACUUCAACCAGAUAGUAAGUACGUGUUGGGCCUAUUUCUUGCUUCACUGUCAUUCAUUUCUCCUGUCAUUCAUUUCUCCUCCAUGCAGGAACCCAAAAGUUUAAACUACUCUAAGACUUGCCGGUACACUUGUUGAAAAGAAAACGGAAGUGAUGUACAUUCCUUUGCUUAAAACUUUGCAGCGUCUUCUCAACAACGAUACCAUUCUUUAAGAGCUCUUCAGAUUUAUGUAAUCCGCUGGGAUCUCAAGCACAAAAUUGGUAUGGUUUAUUGGCCACAGUAUCGAUCUACGAUCAACACAAUACAACUAUACACAAUACAACUAUAACACUGGUUGAGUUCGGUAUUAUCGAACCAUUAUUUUGUGGAUGACCUUCGCAAACUUGAAUCAGUAAGUUAUCUAUACCAUUGCCUGGUUGUCUUAUGUGGCUGAGGGUUUACCAUCAAUGGUGAAGAGCUGUGACUGUUGUGUCUGCUGACCUGUUGUGUCUGCUGACAAUCUUUAAACAGAGUGCAUCUGCGUUUCGGUGCUGCAGGGGAACUGAGAAAGAUAUACAAUCAAAGGUAGAUUUUCGUAUCAGAUUUUCAUCUGCGCUGUGCUUCAGACCACGUACGUCAUUCAUUGUGAGCUUGUUGAGCAACAUGCAGACCGCCAUCACUUUUCUAUCACAUACGGAGUUAAUCGACAUGCUCUGCUCGACACUCCUUUCGUAUGUGGAUAUGCUCAUUCAUUCCUGAUAUUAUGCACGACAUCCUAGAGGGAGCACUCCCCCUGGAAAUGAAGCUUAUGUUGAAGGAAACUAUAAUUAUGCAUUUCGAUCUAUAUAAUGCCACAGGUGUUAGUUGUUGAAAAAAAGCUAUUCACGCUUGAAAUGGUUGACAACAAUUUACUCCGAAUGUCAGCAAUCUUCGUCAACAUGGGCAAAUUGGGUCACUAUCGAACACUAGUCUAUUGGACGUGGUUCCAGUGAAGACCUAAGUUUGGGAACGUUUAUGUUGAUGGUUUGACUUUACUGUUUGAAUUCCUGCCUAUGGUUACUGAAGAAUUUCAUCAUCCAAGCAUGUUGUGAGGAGUAAUAUUAUAUUUAUACUUGUUAAUCAAUUCACAUGGUACUCAGAGCGACAAGUUAAUAUAAACCUCAAUUGUACAUAUAAUUAUAUACAAUUCACGAACAUAGUGUGAAAAACAUAAUUAGGCCAAGCAUGUGUUGUGGGUGGGCAGUGGGGUACUACAAUGGUGUGGUGCUAACACGCUGACACCCAUGUUUAGAUAACACCCCUCUUUGCAAAGGGUGUUAUGUUGACACUCGCUACAGGGCACCAUGGGUGUUACGUAAACAACCAUCAAAAAGCUGACACCUGUGUUCCGAUAACACCCCACUUUUUACAGUGCAACCUUAUGUCUAGCUGCUAAAAACGAGGAACGUCGUAUUGCAGAGAAUAAAAAACAACAGCUAUACCGAAACCACUAGCCUAUCCCGAUGAAUAGGAACCUUUUAACCAGAGCUCAAGAAAUAACGACUGGUCACUUUGCAAACGAAUGCAAACCUAGAAACUAUACGUAGCAUUGAAUCUGUGAAACUGUGCCAUUGUGGAAAUUCACCGAAAGUUCGAUUCUGAAAAGGUGAAUAUCAGUACAUCUAUAUCAAACAAAAUCUUUACUAGCCGCCACGGGUGGCCCGCAAUAGUGACUUUUUUUGCGAAAUUCUAAUUCUGCGAUACUUAGGAAGUAGCUCGAACUACGCACAUCCUCACGUGCAAUUUAGUCUAGAAAUUUUAAAAUUUCAUUAGCAUCUUACCGCACGAAGUUUAUAGCUAUGGCUAGGUUGUUUACUUGUGCCGAUGUGCUUGAACAGCUUGAGGACAGCAAUGGCGAUGUCUCCUCUGGUGACGACAGUGCCUAUGAAGGAGAGGGGAUAGUAGGAUACCUCCCAAAGGCUACCAGCUUUAUGCCAGACGCUGAUGAACUGUCUGGGACUGAGGACAUGGACCUAGACGCUAGCGCUAUGGACCAGGACGGUGAAAGACCAGGAGAGGGCUCACUGUGUGACUCUGGCAAGUAGUAUAGUAUAGCUAGAAUAUCAGUAGUGUAAGUAGUAUAGCUAAAAUAGAAUUAGCAGUAACGAACAGUCUUUAUGUGAGCUUGUAAAUUUCAUAGAUCGUUCACCAAUAUAGUACGUAUUGUACUUCAAAUUGAUAUAUCUUAGCACUGUUACAUUCAUAUGAUGUGAAAAUCAAGCUUAGUCAAGUAUAUGAUACGCUAAUCCAUAAAAAAAAAUUUUUGAAUUUUAUCUCACCGCUGGCCGAGCAUUUAAAAUGUUAAAAACGGGUGAGCGUAAUAACCGUGGUUGUUAUGGCAACACAUGUUGCACCAUUUUAUUCCUUGUUGUAUGGGCAUUCUAUUGGUAUAUGGUUGCUAGGCAUUUUAUUGCUCUGGAAACCCGAUAGAGAAUUUACAGACAUUUCACUUCACUGUUAAUUAAGAAUCCGACGGUUAAAGACCUGCCGAGCAAAGACCCGCUAGAUUAGUGAAGACUUUAGUGAAGACGAGCGACAUGAAGAAAGUAGAACUCUGAGGAAGUGAUCCCAAGUGUGUCACAGUGUUGCAAUGGGUGGUGAACUAUUUAAAACAGUAGAUCUGCAGAAG